rnacentral:rRNA from 1 species
AGGGUUUGAUCAUGGCUCAGGAUGAACGCUGGCGGCGUGCCUAACACAUGCAAGUCGCGGGAGAAACACCUUCGGGUGUGGAAACCGGCGCACGGGUGAGUAACACGUAGCUUAUCUACCCCUUAGAGGUGGAUAACCACUGGAAACAGUGGCUAAUACACCAUAAGCUCACGGACUGUAGAGGUUUGUGAGAAAAGUUCAGGCGCUAAGGGAUGAGGCUGCGAGCCAUCAGCUAGUUGGUGAGGUAAAGGCUCACCAAGGCGACGACGGCUAGGGGACCUGAGAGGGUGACCCCCCACACUGGAACUGAGAAACGGUCCAGACUUCUACGGAAGGCAGCAGUGAGGAAUAUUGCACAAUGGGCGCAAGCCUGAUGCAGCGACGCCGCGUGGGUGAAGAAGGAUUUCGGUCUGUAAAGCCCUUUUCUGCGUGACGAGAGUGGACGGUAGCACAGGAAUAAGUCUCGGCUAACUACGUGCCAGCAGCCGCGGUAAAACGUAGGAGGCAAGCGUUAUCCGGAGUUACUGGGCGUAAAGGGCGUGCAGGUGGUUCAAUAAGUUGGUUAUGAAAGCUCCUGGCUAAACUGGGAGAGGUUGACCAAGACUGCUGAACUUGAGUGGAUGAGAGGUAAACGGAAUUCCGCGUGUAGUGGUGAAAUGCGUAGAGAUGCGGAGGAACACCAGUGGCGAAGGCGGUUUACUGGCAUCCAACUGACACUGAGACGCGAAAGCAUGGGUAGCGAACGGGAUUAGAAACCCCGGUAGUCCAUGCCAUAAACGAUGCACACUAAACGUUUGUUAUCCGCGAGGGUAAUGAGUGUUGAAGCUAACGCGAUAAGUGUGCCGCCUGGGGAGUACGGUCGCAAGG